UCCUGGUUGGCUCAGCUGGUAGAGUAUGUGACUCUUGAUCUUGGGGUUGUGAGUUCAAGCCUCACAAUGAGUA
rnacentral:tRNA from 1 species